CGUCUAUAUACGUAUAGCAUAUCAAUAAGCGGAGGAAAAGAAACUAACUAGGAUUCCCUUAGUAACGGCGAGUGAAGCGGGAAGAGCUCAAAUUUGAAAUCUUCAAGGUUUUACCUUGACGAAUUGUAGUUUAAAGAGGUGUUUUCUGUUGGAAGUUUUGGUAAAAGUUCUUUGGAAAUAGGACAUCAUAGAGGGUGAGAAUCCCGUAUUUGACCAUUAUUUCCAACUUUGUGAUACACUUUCAAAGAGUCGGAUUGUUUGGGAAUGCAGUCCAAAAUGGGUGGUAAAUUUCAUCUAAAGCUAAAUACUGGCGAGAGACCGAUAGCGAACAAGUACCGUGAGGGAAAGAUGAAAAGAACUUUGAAAAGAGAGUUAAACAGUACGUGAAAUUGUCAAAAGGGAAGCGUUUGACACCAGUGUUGUUUUCUCGAAAAUCAAUUAAAAAUGGUGGGAUUUUGUGUUGUAUUGACUUUAUCAGCUUUCUGCACUUUUUUCCUGUCUUUUUUAAUGCACUUUUCGUUUAACAAGUCAACAUCAAUUUCUUUUGUUGUAAAAGGGUCAUUGGAAGGUGGCUUUCUUUUCGGAGAAAGUGUUUAUAGCCUUUGGCCUCUGCAGUCGGAGAGAUUGAGGUCUGCAGCGUAGAUCCUUCGGGGUUAGAUGCAUUUGUGCUAAGCUAUAGCCUUUCAUAGACAACUUGUUGACUAUGAUCAGUCAUGUAGCUUACUCGCUUAUGUCUAUUUUACCUACGCUUAGGAUGUUGACGAUCAGCUGAGCGCG
rnacentral:rRNA from 1 species